CUUAACAUUACCAAGUCCCAC
rnacentral:misc_RNA from 1 species